rnacentral:lncRNA from 1 species
UCCAGCCGGGGCCGGCGAGGCUGAGUGGCCGCUACGCUGCUCGCUGGCCUCCCAGUCUUCCCAGCAACCGGUGACACUGCCCGCGCGAGACUGACCACUCGCCGGCGCGGGCGAGAGGGACAGGAGCGUGACCUCCCCAUCCCGAGGGGCCGGACGCUCGGGCGCCUCCGCGCUCCCCCAACUCGGAGGCCUCGCGCGCCGUUAGCCCCUUCCUCGCUCCCCCGCCCCAGUCCCGCAGUCCGGGAGGCGGGGGUCGGCGCCGGCUGAGUGGGAACCGCGCGGUGUCUGAAGAGCCAGUCGGCGACCGGUUUCUACUUCAAGCGUGAUCCCUUUGCUUGUGGGAUGAGCUCCAGCAUGGGGUGAGGUACAGAAGAGAGACUCGAAGAGCCUGCCUUGGGACUUAAGCGCCAAGCCUGUACCCUAGCAAGUGUCUUACUCCACAUCCGUAAUGGAAGGAAAUGCACAUCCUACUCCAGAGGCACAAGAGGAGGACAUCCCAUGCUGGCUACUCCUGCCCAGCGUGGUGGGGGAGCAGAAGCUCCAGAGCCCAGACUUGCAGGCUCACGGUGCAGGGUGAACCUGGCCACAGCUUACCUCUGGAACAGCCGCAGUGUCUGCCCUUAGAGAAGAACCCUGAAAUCAGACCCGUUUUUGCGGCCUCCCCGUUUCCUCUCUGUUACAGUGCCCUUUCCAGGCCUUAAGAGAAGUAAAACUUAGCCGCAGCGUCAGGAGGUGGACCCCCGAAUGUGAGCGGCACCGUUC